CGGAGUCGGAAAACCGAGCAGGGCUUCCCGGGACCGGGGCCGUCCGAUUCCGCGAUUUCUGUCGCGUCCGACGCAUUUGUCUCUCGUCCGAAGGACGCUGCAGCCGGUCGGGCAGUGCAAGCGUGGCGGCCUGAAGGCGGGGAGAUGGCAGGUGGCCGGUGGCUCGCUUCGGCGCGUCGCCGGUUGUUAGCCGUCCCCGCAGUGGCUCGCCGCUCGACCGAGGUGUCACGAGGCCCUUUAGGGCUUCCCCGUCUCCGCCUUCUUUGGCUGCGGGACAGACGGUCGCAGGCGUAGUCCGCCGUGCCGCCGCACCCCCUCAGGGUGGGCGAGUGGGCGGGCGCCACCGUUGGCGACCGCGGACCCGUUGGAGGUCGGAGGCUGGCAGCGAGUAGGUCGGUCACCCACCCGACCCGUCUUGAAACACGGACCAAGGAGUCUAACAUGUGCGCGAGUCAAUGGGUCUUGAAUAGGCCCAGGGGCGCAAUGAAAGCAAAGGUCGUGCAGACGCCGGCCGAGUUGGGAUCCCUCUCCUCGGAGGGGGCGCACCAACGACCCGUCCUAUCCGGCUCGCCGGUUGGGCGGAGUGUGAGCGUACACGUUGGGACCCGAAAGAUGGUGAACUAUGCCCGGACAGGACGAGGCCAGAG
rnacentral:rRNA from 1 species